GCUACGGGAGGCAGCAGUGGGGAAUAUUGGACAAUGGGGGAAACCCUGAUCCAGCGACGCCGCGUGAGUGAAGAAGUAUUUCGGUACGUAAAGCUCUAUCAGCAGGAAAGAAAAUGACGGUACCUGACUAAGAAGCCCCAGCUAACUACGUGCCAGCAGACGCGGUAAUACGUAGGGGGCGAGCGUUAUCCGGAUUUACGGGGUGUAAAGGGAGCGUAGACGGCAGGACAAGUCUGGAGUGAAAUGCCGGGGCCCAACCCCGGAACUGCUCUGGAAACUGUUAAGCUGGAGUGUAGGAGAGGUAAGCGGAAUUCCUGGUGUAGCGGUGAAAUGCGUAGAUAUUAGGAGGAACACCAGCGGCGAAGGCGGCUUACUGGACGGUAACUGACGGUGAGGCUCGAAGGCGUGGGGAGCAAACAGGAUUAGAUACCCGAGUAGUC
rnacentral:rRNA from 1 species